CCCGACUCCUCCCUACUACCUUUCUUGUAAAUGCGCACAACAUUUGCAAACUUCCAAUCUUUUGGGACUACUCCUGUUAACAAUGAUUAGUUAAAUAAAUCUGUUAAUGGUUUUGCUAGUGCACCACUAAGCUCUUUUAAUAACUUUGGGUGUAUUCCAUCAGGUCCCAUUGACUUAUUUGUCUUUACUGACAGUUGAAAUAGAAC